rnacentral:rRNA from 1 species
UAUGUAGGUGGCAAGCGUUGUCCGGAAUUACUGGGCGUAAAGGGAGCGUAGGCGGGUCGUCAAGUUGGGGGUGAAAGCCCAGGGCUCAACCUUGGAAUUGCCUUCAAAACUGACGAUCUAGAGUAUGGAAGAGGUAAGUGGAACUCCGAGUGUAGAGGUGAAAUUCGUAGAUAUUCGGAAGAACACCAGUGGCGAAGGCGACUUACUGGUCCAUGACUGACGCUGAGGCUCGAAAGCGUGGGGAGCAAACAGG